rnacentral:rRNA from 1 species
AGAGUUUGAUCCUGGCUCAGGAUGAACGCUGGCGGCGUGCCUAACACAUGCAAGUCGAGCGGUCUUUUCUUCAUGGGUCAGACCUUCUUUGGAGGUUAGAUCUCGAAGAAAGGAUAGUGGCGAAUGGGUGAGUAAUGCGUGGGCAAUCUACCUCGAAGACUGGGAUAACUCCUUGAAAGAGGAGCUAAUACCGGAUAAUUUUACUUCUCGCAUGGGGAGUAAGGAAAGGUUCCCGUUAGGGUUCUGCAUCGAGAGGAGCCCGCGUCCUAUCAGCUAGUUGGUGAGGUAAAGGCUCACCAAGGCUACGACGGGUAGCCGGCCUGAGAGGGUGUUCGGCCACACUGGGACUGAGACACGGCCCAGACUCCUACGGGAGGCAGCAGUGGGGAAUCUUGCGCAAUGCCCGAAAGGGUGACGCAGCGACGCCGUGUGGAGGAAGAAGGCCUUCGGGUUGUAAACUCCUGUCAGGAGGGACGAAGGUCCCGAUUUAUCGGGGCUGACGGUACCUCCAGAGGAAGCCCCGGCUAACUACGUGCCAGCAGCCGCGGUAAUACGUAGGGGGCAAGCGUUGUCCGGAUUUACUGGGCGUAAAGGGCACGUGGGUGGUCUACCAAGUCGGGUGUGAAAACCUUGGGCUCAACUCAAGGCUUGCAUCUGAAACUGGUAGGCUAGAGUCCAGCAGAGGAGAGUGGAAUUCCCGGUGUAGCGGUGAAAUGCGCAGAUAUCGGGAGGAACACCUGUGGCGAAGGCGGCUCUCUGGGCUGUGACUGACACUGAGGUGCGAAAGCUAGGGGAGCAAACAGGAUUAGAUACCCUGGUAGUCCUAGCCGUAAACGUUGGGCACUAGGUGUAGAUUCUCUAAGGGUCUGUGCCGAAGUUAACACAUUAAGUGCCCCGCCUGGGGAGUAUGACCGCAAGGUUGAAACUCAAAGGAAUUGACGGGGGCCCGCACAAGCGGCGGAGCAUGUGGCUCAAUUCGAAGCAACGCGAAGAACCUUACCAGGGCUUGACAUGCUGGUGGUAGUGAUCCGAAAGGGGAGCGACCCCGAAAGGGGAGCCAGCACAGGUGGUGCAUGGCUGUCGUCAGCUCGUGCCGUGAGGUGUUGGGUUAAGUCCCGCAACGAGCGCAACCCCUUUCCCAUGUUGCCAGCAUUAAGUUGGGGACUCAUGGGAGACUGCCCCGGUCAACGGGGAGGAAGGUGGGGAUGACGUCAAGUCAUCAUGCCCCUUAUGCUCUGGGCUGCACACGUGCUACAAUGGCCGGUACAAUGGGCUGCGAUGGGGUAAUCCGGAGCGAAUCCCAUAAAACCGGUCUCAGUUCGGAUUGAGGUCUGCAACUCGACCUCAUGAAGGCGGAGUCGCUAGUAAUCGCGGAUCAGCAAUGCCGCGGUGAAUGCGUUCCCGGGCCUUGUACACACCGCCCGUCACACCACCCGAGUCGUUUGCACCCGAAGUCGCUGACUCAACCCUCCGACUUGUCGGGGGGAGGGAGGCGCCGAAGGUGUGGAGGGUAAGGGGGGUGAAGUCGUAACAAGGUAGCCGUACGGGAACGUGCGGCUG